GAAAAAAUAUUAAGGGCAGCCAGAGAGAAAGGUCAGGUUACCUACAAAGGGAAGCCCAUCAGACUAACAGUGGAUCUCUCUGCAGAAACCCUACAAGCCAGAAGAGAGUGGGGGCUAAUAUUCAAUAUACAUUCUUCUCAGGAGCACAUCGCAGUUAUUCUAAAAAUGACCACAUAAUUGGACGUAAAACACUCCUCAGCAAAUGCAAAAUAAUGGAAAUCACAACAAACAGUCUCUCAGCUGGGGUGAUAGGCAUGCACCACCACUCCUGGCUAAUUUUGUAUUUUUAGUAGAGACAGGGUUUCUCCAUGUUGGCCAGGCUGGUCUCGAACUCCUGACCUCAGGUGAUCCGCCCACCCAUUACUAUAUUGAGGUCCAUGUUUCUCCUACCCUUAGAACACUCAUCCUACCCUUAAAACAAAAAAUAAACCUGACUACGUAAGAAGGUUUUUAAAGUCCUGCAGAGAAUAAAAAUACAAAAUAGGAGAAGAAAUGAAAAAACUUGGAGAAAUAUUUGCAACACACAUGAGAAACAGCUGUGAUCUCGUCUAUGCAAAACUGUAGACAAUCCACAAGAAACGUCCCAGCCAAGAGAACAAUAGGCAAAAGAUUUGAAUAGAGACCCAUCUCAUGGAAAAUCAACAUACCCUGGUGAGGGCACUACCCUCACCCACAGCAACCAGAGCUCACAGGAAGAGGAUGCCAUAGAUCACCUACCUGAUCUGGAAGUAAACUGCCUGAUAACCCACUGUGUGAGCAAGGCUGUGUAGAAAGUCACUGGCAUCCAUACAUGAUGGAAUGUCAACUGGUAUAUUUUUUGGAAAAGACCAUAUUUUGGCACUGCCCAUCAAACCUAAAAUGGCUCAUGCCUUUUGACUCGGCAAUUCCACUUCUAGGAACGUAUCCUACUAGCACACGUGUACAAAAUGUCAAAGCAACGAUAUUGCUUCACAACUGCAUUUAAGAGUGCAAACAACGGCACCUACAAAUGGGGAAGAGGGGGCCUGACUGGUCACAGGAGCUGUGGUACAUGCACACAAGGGAAUAUUGCACAGCUGCACAACACGACUAUGGAAUCAUUGUUAAGAUACAGCAAGUGAGUUUUUCAGAAAAGCACAGUGAAGAACUGUGUACAUCGCAUUGCCAUUUGCGUGAAAUAAAUAGGCAGAUAUACGCUUAAAUAACACAAUUCUGACACUGGAAAUAACGGUGGCAUUUAAAGAACAGGGAUGGGACACUUUUGUACUGUCUGAAUUUCUGCUAAGAGCAUGUAUGAUAUUCUUAGACUAUGUAUAUAAAAACAAGGUUGGGGGAGGAAAGAAAGAUGGUCAUACAAAUUUGUGGAAUCUACUAUUCUUUGGGCUGAGUAGCUGCCAAAAUAACAUUUUCUGGUUUACAAAGGUAUCUGCCAGACACAAAGGCCAUGUUCUAUACUACCAAUUGAUAUACAAAGUCUCCAAAAGAUAACCCCAUAAAGAUAGAAAGUAGAUUCCUGGCUGCCAGGGAUAAGGUGGGGGGAAGUAAAUGGGGAGUGACUGCUAAUGGGUACAGGGUUUCUUUUUGGGGUGAUAAAAAUGCUCUGGAAUUA
rnacentral:lncRNA from 1 species